CCUACGGGUGGCAGCAGUGAGGAAUAUUGGUCAAUGGACGAGAGUCUGAACCAGCCAAGUAGCGUGAAGGAUGACUGCCCUAUGGGUUGUAAACUUCUUUUAUAUGGGAAUAAAAUGUUCCACGUGUGGGAUUUUGUAUGUACCAUAUGAAUAAGGAUCGGCUAACUCCGUGCCAGCAGCCGCGGUAAUACGGCGGAUCCGAGCGUUAUCCGGAUUUAUUGGGUUUAAAGGGAGCGUAGGUGGAUUGUUAAGUCAGUUGUGAAAGUUUGCGGCGCAACCGUAAAAUUGCAGUUGAAACUGGCAGUCUUGAGUACAGUAGAGGUGGGCGGAAUUCGUGGUGUAGCGGUGAAAUGCUUAGAUAUCACGAAGAACUCCGAUUGCGAAGGCAGUUCACUGGACUGCAACUGACACUGAGGCUCGAAAGUGUGGGUAUCAAACAGGAUUAGAUACCCUUGUAGUC
rnacentral:rRNA from 1 species